CCAAAGGCUCUUUUCAGAGCCACCCACUGCAUCACUGGAGAGCUG
rfam:Calypte anna contig3942, whole genome shotgun sequence.